AACAGACGCGAGAAUGCAGCGAUUGACAACAUUCAACAUGUAAUCGUUUUAUCUUGCAAAUUAAUGAUUGGCUAAGUUGUUAAAAAUGCAACGUUUUGCAAAAAAGUAUUUUGAAUCUCUGCCCAGCCCAACGUUAUAUUACGUGGAAUUGAUGGAGUACUACAUGAUGAUUUUUCCGAGCCAAUAAUCAUUAAUAUUUGUAUGCACCCAUUUGCUUGAGGUCAGGUGUACACAAUUGCUUUCUGCUGUACCAGACUUGCUUGCUGUUAGGCAUAGAUGACCCCAAGCUUGGACUUUAAGAAGAAGUUAGGCAUUCUAUAAAAUAGUGAAUAAUAACCAUGUCUGUGGCCUUUGCUAUUCAAUAUUGUCUUUUUUCACACUCAGGUCCAAUUAAGAGAGAUCAUAAACACAGCACAAAACCUUGUUUUGAUGUUAAGUAACAGCGUACCACUGAAUGUAAGGCCAGUCAGACAGGGCAACACAGGAGAAGCUGCUGUUGGUCAGGCAGUGCAGUCAGUGACCACAGUGAGGCCUCAGCAGGCACUGCAACAAAGAGCUCAACUCAGUGGCCCUGGACUCUCAGUGAAACAAGAAAUGGCUCGGUCUUUUCCAGGAUUUUUUAAAAAAGAGGCAAGAGGAAAAAGGCGCUUUGCACCAUAUAGGACAAACGAAUUUGGGAAGAGUUUCUUGGUGAAUUUCUUUCUUCUUGAAAAACAAUAUGAAAAAACACCAAAAGGAGAGGAGGAACUGCCACUCAUGCUUGCUGGCCUUGGAAAACGUUCUCUAACCAUAUCUGAAAACAUGACACAUUCAGAGAUUUCAGAUUUGCUUGUGAAUGUAUAUCCAAGACUGGCAAACAUCUGUGGUGGCUGGAUGCUGCACAAAUCCACAGGUGGAAGUGGGUGGCGGAACUUGGUUGUUAUCCCUCCAGAUCUACAUGGAUACACUGGCCAGCAGUUAAAAGUGGUGACUAGCAGUGGAAAAUACACAUUGUACAUUUGUCCUUUACAAGAAGAACUUGAUACAAUUUCACUACCACCCGAAGCAAAGGAGUUUGAGAAAAUGCCCAAAGCCCAGUGUACAACUUGCAAGAAAAUGGUGCCACUUCAGAUUCUUCCAGUGCACAUCAAGGAAUGCAAGACAGAACUUGUAGAUUUGAGUUGUUCUGCUGAAGAGGAAAGUUGCAAAGAACAUGAUGAAUUUAGAGAUUCCACUUGCAACCAGUCAGACCAGACAUCAGAGUGUCCUGUGUGCAACAAUGCAUUUCACGUUGACAUAAUUGAAGUCCAUGCAGCCACAUGUGGAUUAAGACCUUCAGAUAAUGACUGUCACGAGUCAAGUGGAUCAGGAGCAGUCGGUCAAAUCAGUACAUUUCAAAGUACAGAGGAAAUCUUGGAUUGGAUCACUCAUCAAGUUAAUGAAACGAACACAUUUUCUAUCUGUGUUUCUCGAUCUGACCUCUUCAGCAGAGGCAUGCAACAGUGGCAACGGCAGAAAAAGACAUCACCCAAAUCUAGACUUAAGGUCACAUUCUUCGGUGAGGCAGGCAUUGAUACUGGUGCCCUUAGCAGAGAAUUUCUCACAGAAAUGCUGGCAGAGGUCGAAAACAGACUCUUUGUUGGAGGGUCAGAUAAGAAAGGGAAGAAUCCUGUUUAUUGUCUCAACAGUUUGGACUCAAACUUCUUCAGGAGUGUGGGAGAGAUCAUGGCAGCUAGCCUUGCACAAGGCAGACCUUGCCCCAACUUCUUGCGCGACUGGUGCUUCAGAUAUCUCUGCUCUGGUGAUUCUGACAGUAUACAAGUGUCUGCCAGUGAUGUAACAGAUUUUGAACUAUCACAGCUUAUUGAGAGGAUAAACAGCACAGAUGACAAGAUCAGUGACCUGGUUGACGAUAUUGUGACCUGUGGCUACACUGGAAUCGUGUCUAUGGAAAGAAGAGAUGCCAUGAUAAGGUUUACCAUUAAUGUUUAGUCUCCUGAUUAAUGGGACCCCAUUAGAACUGUUGUACUUCACUCCACUGUGAGACUCAUCCCGAUGCUGGACCAGAUCAGAAAAGGCCUUCAGCUUUAUGACCUACCAAAAAUCAUGAAGACCCAUGAAGACCUCUGCCUACCACUGUUUGUUCCAGGGGAAGAUGAUGAGGUGGAUGCUACCUUUCUCCUGGAGAGGAGCCGCCCUGUCUUUAGUGAGACUGGUUCUGCCAAGCACCAGAAAGAAGUGAAGAUUAUGAACUUUCUCCAGGACUACCUCCAAGAAAUUGAGGAUUCUGAAAAAGCGGACCCCA